rnacentral:rRNA from 1 species
UCUGAUUAGCUAGUUGGUGGGGUAAAGGCUUACCAAGGCGACGAUCAGUAGCUGGUCUGAGAGGACGAUCAGCCACACUGGGACUGAGACACGGCCCAGACUCCUACGGGAGGCAGCAGUGGGGAAUUUUCCGCAAUGGGCGAAAGCCUGACGGAGCAAUACCGCGUGAGGGAGGAAGGCUCUUGGGUUGUAAACCUCUUUUCUCAGGGAAGAAGCUCUGACGGUACCUGAGGAAUCAGCAUCGGCUAACUCCGUGCCAGCAGCCGCGGUAAUACGGAGGAUGCAAGCGUUAUCCGGAAUGAUUGGGCGUAAAGCGUCUGCAGGUGGCUUUACAAGUCUGCUGUCAAAGACUGAGGCUUAACUUCGGAGAGGCAGUGGAAACUGAAAAGCUAGAGUGCGGUAGGGGUAGAGGGAAUUCCCGGUGUAGCGGUGAAAUGCGUAGAGAUCGGGAAGAACACCGGUGGCGAAAGCGCUCUGCUGGACCGCAACUGACACUCAUGGACGAAAGCUAGGGGAGCGAAUGGGAUUAGAUACCCCAGUAGUCCUAGCCGU